GAUUAACAUUUUAAAUUUUCUAUUUAUUAAUAUAAAUUUAAUUUAUUUUAAAUAUAAAAAAAUAUUUAUAAAAUAAUUAGACGACAAGACCCUAUUAAACUUAACUUAAGUUAAGCUGGGGCAGCUAAUAAAUUAUUAUUUUUAUUAAAAUUAUUAAAAUUUUAUCUAAUAAAAUUAAUUAAUCAAGUUACUAUAGGGAUAACAGCGUAAUAUUAAUUUAAAGUUCAUAUUAAAAUUAACUUUUGCGACCUCGAUGUUGAAUUAUAGAUCUUUAUUAACGCAAAAGUUAUAUAAGUAAGUCUGUUCGACUUUUAAUACUUUACA
rnacentral:rRNA from 1 species